UUGAAAACAAUGGACGAUGAUUUCAAGACUUGCUGCUAUCGAAUACAGAUCGCCCCGUGAUCAAUUUGAUAGAUUAUUAACGUUUAUUAAUACCUAAAGUUGGUUUAGAAAAGUAGUUUGAAGUGAUUUGUAAAAGUUUAUAGGCAACUUUUGUAAUUUUAAAAAGUGACGUUGCGUCUUGUAAAAUGGAAUAUUCCUGGAUCAGACCGGUCUAAGGAAAACAACAUUUUGGCUAUACAAUGACGGAUUUAAUCGGGAAAAAGACCCACUUGUGAUGUUUAUGGGAUAUAUAGGAGUGCCAAGAAAGAAGCUCGUCAAAGGUACUGGUAUUCCAAACAGCCUGAUAAUACAGGUCCUAAUGGGGACGAGGAUUGUGCUGAGAUACACAAAGACCAGAGUCGUUGAAAGUCAUGGAAUGACUUGUCAUGUGGCAGCAAACGGACCUGAAUUUGUGAGAAAGUGCUUUAACAUCACCAUGACAACAUGCUGUAACACAUUCUGUAAACCACAGUGCACACAGCUUCCUCAUUCUCUCUCUGUCUCUGUCUCUGUCACUCUCUCUUUCUCUCUCUCUAUCUCUGUCUCAAACGCAUGCACACAAAUUUUGUAUUAGUUUGUAUUAAUAUAUUAAUAAAUGUCCUGCUUUUUUCCUGACAUUAUAGCUUCCGAUAACGAUGUUAAUUAAUAAUCUUUGACAGUCAGUCUUUGUGGUCAAGUUACGUAUAAGAACAAUAUCAAAUGCUCAUAUUUGACUGUUGUUCCCCUAAAUGGGUCCCAAAAGAGGGAAGUGAAGUUGAUAUUUUCAGUGGUUCAACCAGCUGUCACUCAAAACGCCUGAACCAAUUAGGUUCAUAGCGAAAGAGGAGAGCCCUGAUGGUUUAUGUUGUCUCCUCAUCCUCACUGGUUAAGCAUAACCACCGUCAAUAUCCACUUGGAGCAGUUUGUAGUGUUGAAUAUAUUGUAAGAACAUUAUAAUGACCUGUUGGAUCGGAGGGUGAGGGCCAUUUCCCCCGGAAAUGUCUGAGAAUUUGCAGGUGCCUUGGUGGAUGAGUGGGGUAACAUCUCACAGCAAGAACUGGCAAUUAUGGUGCAGUCAAUGAGGAAGAGUUGCACUGCAGUACUUAAUGCAGCUGUUGGCCACACCAGAUACUGACUGUUACUUAUUAUUGUUACUGACUGUUAUUUUGACCCCCCCCCUUUGUUCAGGGACACAUUAUUCCAUUUCUGUUAGUCACAUGUCUGUGGAACUUGUUCAGCUUAUGUCUCAGUUGUUGAAUCUUGUUAUGUUCAUACAAAUAUUUACACAUGUUAAGUUUGCUGAAAAUAAAUGCAGUUGACAGUGA